GACGAAGGGGGCUAGCGUUGUUCGGAAUUACUGGGCGUAAAGCGCGCGUAGGCGGGUCUUAAGUCAGGGGUGAAAUCCUGGAGCUCAACUCCAGAACUGCCUUUGAUACUGAAGAUCUUGAGUUCGGGAGAGGUGAGUGGAACUGCGAGUGUAGAGGUGAAAUUCGUAGAUAUUCGGAAGAACACCAGUGGCGAAGGCGGCUCACUGGACUGGUAUUGACGCUGAGGUGCGAAAGCGUGGGGAGCAAACAGG
rnacentral:rRNA from 1 species